rnacentral:tRNA from 1 species
UCCCUGGUGGCUCAGUGGUUAAGAAUCUGCCUGUAAUGCAGGAGACACAGGUUUGAUCCCUGGCUCAGGAA